rnacentral:rRNA from 1 species
GUGGGGAAUAUUGGACAAUGGGCGAAAGCCUGAUCCAGCCAUGCCGCGUGUGUGAAGAAGGUCUUCGGAUUGUAAAGCACUUUAAGUUGGGAGGAAGGGCAGUAAGUUAAUACCUUGCUGUUUUGACGUUACCGACAGAAUAAGCACCGGCUAACUUCGUGCCAGCAGCCGCGGUAAUACGAAGGGUGCAAGCGUUAAUCGGAAUUACUGGGCGUAAAGCGCGCGUAGGUGGUUUUGUAAGUUGGAGGUGAAAUCCCCGGGCUCAACCUGGGAACUGCCUCCAAAACUGCAUGACUAGAGUACGGUAGAGGGUAGUGGAAUUUCCUGUGUAGCGGUGAAAUGCGUAGAUAUAGGAAGGAACACCAGUGGCGAAGGCGACUACCUGGACUGAUUCUGACACUGAGGUGCGAAAGCGUGGGGAGCAAACAGGAUUAGAUACCCGAGUAGUCC